rnacentral:misc_RNA from 1 species
GAUGAAGAACGUAGCGAAAUGCGAUAAGUAAUGUGAAUUGCAGAAUUCAGUGAAUCAUCGAAUCUUUGAACGCACAUUGCGCCCCCUGGUAUUCCGGGGGGCAUGCCUGUCCGAGUGUCAUUACAACCCUCAAGCUCAGCUUGGUGUUGGGCCCCGCCGCCCCGGCGGGCCCUAAAGUCAGUGGCGGUGCCGUCCGGCUCCGAGCGUAGUAAUUCUUCUCGCUCUGGAGGUCCGGUCGUGUGCUCGCCAGCAACCCCCAAUUUUUUUCAGGUUGACCUCGGAUCAGGUAGGGAUACCCGCUGAACUUAAGCAUAUCAAUAAGCGGAGGA